AAUUUACACAACAAAAUAAUCUGCCAGAGAACUACUAGCAACAGCUUAAAACUCAAAGGACUUGGCGGUGCUUUAUAUCCCUCUAGAGGAGCCUGUUCUGUAAUCGAUAAACCCCGAUAAACCUCACCACUCCUAGCUAAACCAGUCUAUAUACCGCCAUCUUCAGCAAACCCUUAAAAGGAAGAAAAGUAAGCACAAUAAUACUACAUAAAAAAGUUAGGUCAAGGUGUAACCCAUGGAGUGGGAAGAAAUGGGCUACAUUUUCUUAUCAAGAAUACACUCACGAAAGUUUUCAUGAAAACUGAAAACUAAAGGUGGAUUUAGUAGUAAAUUAAGAAUAGAGAGCUUAGUUGAAUAGGGCCAUGAAGCACGCACACACCGCCCGUCACCCUCCUCAAGCAACACAUUCAACCAUUACAUAAUAUAAACUAAACUGAAGCAAGAGGAGAUAAGUCGUCAACAAGGUAAGCGUACUGGAAAGUGUGCUUGGAUUAAA
rnacentral:rRNA from 1 species